CCCCUUGUAUAGCUAUAAUCGUACACCUAUAAACACUGUUUUUUUGAGGGUGGCAAACCUCACGCCAAAGGCGUGAGACCGUCUAGGAGAGUCCGGGAGCAAGCACCCCCGGGAAAAUUUUGAAAUCUAGGGUCCCUGAAUUGCGAUUUCAAGCAUUUUGAAGGUGAAAUCUAGCAGAAUUUCGAAGAUUAUAAAGUACAUCGAAGACAUGAAUUUUUCCAGACA